CCUACGGGAGGCAGCAGUGCGGAAUAUUGGUCAAUGGACGCAAGUCUGAACCAGCAAUGCCGCGUGCAGGAUGAAGGCUCUAUGAGUUGUAAACUGCUUUUGUACGAGGGUAAACCCCGAUACGUGUCUCGGGUGGACAGUAUCGUACGAAUAAGGCUCGGCUCACUCCGUGCCAGCAGCCGCGGUAAUACGGAGGAUCCGAGCGUUAUCCGGAUUUAUUGGGUUUAAAGGGUGCGUAGGCGGUUUUAUAAGUGAGAGGUGAAAUGUCGCGGCUCAACCCCGGAACUGCCUUUUAUAAUGUUGGACUAGAGUAUAGUUGCGGUAGGCGGAAUGUAUGGUGUAGCGGUGAAAUGCGUAGAGAUCA
rnacentral:rRNA from 1 species